rnacentral:rRNA from 1 species
ACUCCUACGGGAGGCAGCAGUGGGGAAUUUUCCGCAAUGGGCGAAAGCCUGACGGAGCAAUACCGCGUGAGGGAUGAAAGCCUGUGGGUUGUAAACCUCUUUUCUCAAGGAAGAAAUUCUGACGGUACUUGAGGAAUAAGCAUCGGCUAACUCUGUGCCAGCAGCCGCGGUAAUAC